rnacentral:rRNA from 1 species
UACGAAGGGGGCUAGCGUUGCUCGGAAUUACUGGGCGCAAAGCGCACGUAGGCGGAUUGUUAAGUCGGGGGUGAAAUCCCGGAGCUCAACUCCGGAACUGCCUUCGAUACUGACGAUCUUGAGUCCGGGAGAGGUGAGUGGAACUGCGAGUGUAGAGGUGAAAUUCGUAGAUAUUCGCAAGAACACCAGUGGCGAAGGCGGCUCACUGGCCCGGUACUGACGCUGAGGUGCGAAAGCGUGGGGAGCAAACAGG